GCCUGUUUCGGUCCGCCAUUUUUUAUCGCGGGAAACGUGUCGGUUCGCGUCGUGUCGAAUCGCGUCGUUUUACGGAAAUACUGACUUGGUUCUAAGACGAGCUGAAAAUGCCGGGUUUUAGUAGCGUGGGCACAUUCAAGAUCUUCAUUGGCAAUUUAGCCGAUAAGACAUCAAAUGCAGACAUCAAACCGCUGUUCGAAAAGUAUGGGAAGGUGGUGGAGUGUGACGUCGUCAAAAACUAUGGUUUUGUGCACAUGGAAAACGAAGAAGCUGGACGCAGUGCUAUUCAGAAUUUGAAUGGCCACAUGGUGCACGGCCAGCCAAUCAAGUGCGAGGCUGCAAAGAGCCGCAAAGGCCCCAACACUCCGACGACCAAGAUCUUUGUUGGCAACCUGACGGACAAUACAAAGGCUCCGCAGGUGCGCGAGCUCUUCGCGAAGUACGGAACGGUCGUCGAGUGCGACAUCGUCAGGAACUACGGUUUCGUCCACCUAGAGGCAACGGGCGACGUGAACGACGCGAUCAAGGAGCUCAACGGACAGAUCGUGGACGGCCAACCAAUGAAGGUUCAGAUCUCCACGAGCAGAGUGCGACAGAGGCCGGGGAUGGGCGAUCCUGAGCAGUGCUACCGAUGCGGCCGAGGAGGCCACUGGUCGAAGGAAUGCCCCAAGGGAGGAAUGGGAGGGGGACCCGACAGGAACGGCUUCAGGGACCGAAUGUUCGGACGCGACCCGUACCCUCCGCCGCCGCCACCACCUUUCCUUCGGGACAGGCUGAUGGGUGGUGGCCGCUUCGGAGAGUACGAAAGCUACUACGACAGGAGGGGCUUCGAGGACAGCAGGGACCUCUACGAGAGGCGGUUUACGGGUAUGGGAUCCAUGCGAGACACCGGGUUCACACGUGGCAACGAGUACGGCAUGUUCAGUCGGCGUUCCCCACCCCCGAGCGGAAACAAUGGCCGGUUCAGUGAACUUCAGGCUGCGUACCGACUUUGUCCAUGAACGCAGGCGACCCUAAAGAAACAGUACCGGAUCGACGUUCAAGUCACGAAAGAUAGAGGCAUGUACGAGGACUUCAGCCGAGACUCGUUCGAAGAGCGUAGAACAGUUGGCACUGCUGAUGAGGUGGUCGCGCACGAGCUAGCGUACAGCGCGAAUAAAACGCUUCAUGCAUAUACGGACGUGGAUUACUAACUC
rnacentral:misc_RNA from 1 species